CAGAGGGGGCAAGCGUUGUUCGGAAUUACUGGGCGUAAAGGGCGCGUAGGCGGCCUGCUAAGUCGAACGUGAAAUCCCUGGGCUCAACCCAGGAACUGCGUCCGAUACUGGUUGGCUUGAAUCCGGGAGAGGGACGUGGAAUUCCAGGUGUAGCGGUGAAAUGCGUAGAUAUCUGGAGGAACCACCGGUGGCGAAGGCGACGUCCUGGACCGGCAUUGACGCUGAGGCGCGAAAGCCAGGGGAGCAAACGGGAUUAGAUACCCCGGUAGUCCUGGCCCUAAACGAUGAAUGCUUGGUGUGGCGGGUAUCGAUCCCUGCCGUGCCGAAGCUAACGCAUUAAGCAUUCCGCCUGGGGAGUACGGUCGCAAGGCUG
rnacentral:rRNA from 1 species